rnacentral:rRNA from 1 species
ACUCAAAUGAAUUGACGGGGACCCGCACAAGCGGUGGAGCAUGUGGUUUAAUUCGAAGCAACGCGAAGAACCUUACCAAGUCUUGACAUCCCAAUGACGUAGGAGUAACGUCCUAUUCCCUUCGGGGCAUUGGAGACAGGUGGUGCAUGGUUGUCGUCAGCUCGUGUCGUGAGAUGUUGGGUUAAGUCCCGCAACGAGCGCAACCCUUAUCUUUAGUAGCCAGCAGUAAGAUGGGAACUCUAGAGAGACUGCCGGGGAUAACCCGGAGGAAGGUGGGGAUGACGUCAAAUCAUCAUGCCCCUUAUGAUUUGGGCUACACACGUGCUACAAUGGCGUGAACAGAGGGAAGCGAAGGGGUGACCUGAAGCAAAUCCCAAAAAACACGUCUCAGUUCGGAUUGUAGUCUGCAACUCGACUACAUGAAGCUGGAAUCGCUAGUAAUCGCGAAUCAGAAUGUCGCGGUGAAUACGUUCCCGGGUCUUGUACACACCGCCCGU